rnacentral:rRNA from 1 species
CAGGACGAACGCUGGCGGCGUGCCUAAUACAUGCAAGUCGAGCGGACCGACGGGAGCUUGCUCCCUUAGGUCAGCGGCGGACGGGUGAGUAACACGUGGGUAACCUGCCUGUAAGACUGGGAUAACUCCGGGAAACCGGGGCUAAUACCGGAUGCUUGAUUGAACCGCAUGGUUCAAUCAUAAAAGGUGGCUUUUAGCUACCACUUACAGAUGGACCCGCGGCGCAUUAGCUAGUUGGUGAGGUAACGGCUCACCAAGGCGACGAUGCGUAGCCGACCUGAGAGGGUGAUCGGCCACACUGGGACUGAGACACGGCCCAGACUCCUACGGGAGGCAGCAGUAGGGAAUCUUCCGCAAUGGACGAAAGUCUGACGGAGCAACGCCGCGUGAGUGAUGAAGGUUUUCGGAUCGUAAAACUCUGUUGUUAGGGAAGAACAAGUACCGUUCGAAUAGGGCGGUACCUUGACGGUACCUAACCAGAAAGCCACGGCUAACUACGUGCCAGCAGCCGCGGUAAUACGUAGGUGGCAAGCGUUGUCCGGAAUUAUUGGGCGUAAAGCGCGCGCAGGCGGUUUCUUAAGUCUGAUGUGAAAGCCCCCGGCUCAACCGGGGAGGGUCAUUGGAAACUGGGGAACUUGAGUGCAGAAGAGGAGAGUGGAAUUCCACGUGUAGCGGUGAAAUGCGUAGAGAUGUGGAGGAACACCAGUGGCGAAGGCGACUCUCUGGUCUGUAACUGACGCUGAGGCGCGAAAGCGUGGGGAGCGAACAGGAUUAGAUACCCUGGUAGUCCACGCCGUAAACGAUGAGUGCUAAGUGUUAGAGGGUUUCCGCCCUUUAGUGCUGCAGCAAACGCAUUAAGCACUCCGCCUGGGGAGUACGGUCGCAAGACUGAAACUCAAAGGAAUUGACGGGGGCCCGCACAAGCGGUGGAGCAUGUGGUUUAAUUCGAAGCAACGCGAAGAACCUUACCAGGUCUUGACAUCCUCUGACAACCCUAGAGAUAGGGCUUCCCCUUCGGGGGCAGAGUGACAGGUGGUGCAUGGUUGUCGUCAGCUCGUGUCGUGAGAUGUUGGGUUAAGUCCCGCAACGAGCGCAACCCUUGAUCUUAGUUGCCAGCAUUCAGUUGGGCACUCUAAGGUGACUGCCGGUGACAAACCGGAGGAAGGUGGGGAUGACGUCAAAUCAUCAUGCCCCUUAUGACCUGGGCUACACACGUGCUACAAUGGGCAGAACAAAGGGCAGCGAAGCCGCGAGGCUAAGCCAAUCCCACAAAUCUGUUCUCAGUUCGGAUCGCAGUCUGCAACUCGACUGCGUGAAGCUGGAAUCGCUAGUAAUCGCGGAUCAGCAUGCGCGGNUGAAUACGUUCCCGGGGCCUUGUACACACCGCCCGUCACACCACGAGAGUUUGUAACACCCGAAGUCGGUGAGGUAACCUUUUGGAGCCAGCC